AUUCUUAUCAUUCACAGAUGUGUGCUUCUCAAGCUUUGUUCUAUACAAAUUUUAAUGCACCUGACACUCACUUCAGGAUCAUUGGCAUUGAUCAAAUAAGGCAAGGGAAAGGGAAUUGAUAAAGCAGAAAGCUUUAGAGAAAGCUAGAAAGCUUCAGGUAA